AGAAUCAACGCUGGCGGCGUGCCUAACACAUGCAAGUCGCACGGGAAAGGGGAGCAAUCCCUGAGUAAAGUGGCGCACGGGUGAGUAACACGUGAAUAAUCUACCUCCGAGUGGGGAAUAACUGAGAGAAAUCUUAGCUAAUACCGCAUAACACUUACGAGUCAAAGCAGCAAUGCGCUUGGAGAGGAGUUCGCGGCCGAUUAGUUAGUUGGCGGGGUAAUGGCCCACCAAGACGAUGAUCGGUA
rnacentral:rRNA from 1 species